rnacentral:ncRNA from 2 species
UCGUAAUAUUUACAAUUAACUCGUAUAUGUGCUGGAAUGGGCCGGCAUGUCUCUACCCGAUCACCGGAAUGAUUGGACUACGGGAGGAAUAUGAAGAAUG